rnacentral:rRNA from 1 species
GAUGAACGCUGGCGGCGUGCCUAAUACAUGCAAGUCGAGCGAACGGACGAGAAGCUUGCUUUUCUGAUGUUAGCGGCGGACGGGUGAGUAACACGUGGAUAACCUACCUAUAAGACUGGGAUAACUUCGGGAAACCGGAGCUAAUACCGGAUAAUAUUUUGAACCGCAUGGUUCAAAAGUGAAAGACGGUCUUGCUGUCACUUAUAGAUGGAUCCGCGCUGCAUUAGCUAGUUGGUAAGGUAACGGCUUACCAAGGCAACGAUGCAUAGCCGACCUGAGAGGGUGAUCGGCCACACUGGAACUGAGACACGGUCCAGACUCCUACGGGAGGCAGCAGUAGGGAAUAUUCCGCAAUGGGCGCAAGCCUGACGGAGCAACGCCGCGUGAGUGAUGAAGGUCUUCGGAUCGUAAAACUCUGUUAUUAGGGAAGAACAGAUGUGUAAGUAACUGUGCACAUCUUGACGGUACCUAAUCAGAAAGCCACGGCUAACUUCGUG